UACGGAAGGCAGCAGUGGGGAAUAUUGCACAAUGGGCGCAAGCCUGAUGCAGCCAUGCCGCGUGUAUGAAAAAGGCCUUCGGGUUGUAAAGUACUUUCAGUCGUGAGGAAGGUGUUAAGGUUAAUAACCUUAGCAAUUGACGUUAGCGACAGAAGAAGCACCGGCUAACUCCGUGCCAGCAGCCGCGGUAAUACGGAGGGUGCGAGCGUUAAUCGGAAUUACUGGGCGUAAAGGGCACGCAGGCGGUUAAUUAAGUUGGAUGUGAAAUCCCCGGGCUUAACCUGGGAAUGGCAUUCAAGACUGGUUAGCUAGAGUCUUGUAGAGGGGGUAGAAUUCCAUGUGUAGCGGUGAAAUGCGUAGAGAUGUGGAGGAAUACCGGUGGCGAAGGCGGCCCCUGGACAAAGACUGACACUCAUGUGCGAAAGCGUGGGGAGCAAACAGGGAUUAGAUACC
rnacentral:rRNA from 1 species